UUUUGAUGCAUGCUUGGACGACAUUAAAUUGGUUGCUGCAUUCUUCUCCCUAUGCAUGGGACGGCAUUAAAAUCCCUCUUCUCCAUGUGCUAUUUCGGUCCCUUCAAUAGAGCCAUUAAUGUGCCGUCUCAAUUAAGAGAAUGCAUGACCAGCAAAUUAAAACCUGUAUUUAAGCUGCCGUUUGAGCUCACCUAGGAGCCUUUUUCGUGGGAAACAAAGGAGCCUUAAAAGCACCAUCCAAAUUGAAGGGAUGAAUGGGCAGAUUCUAGAAGUCAAAUUUAUUACCCAUGAUGAACAAACAUUUGCUUCAUGACUAAGGAUGCAUCUAUGGAUGGCAAG
rnacentral:lncRNA from 1 species